rnacentral:rRNA from 1 species
UAGGGAAUCUUCCGCAAUGGACGCAAGUCUGACGGAGCAACGCCGCGUGAGUGAAGAAGGAUUUCGGUUCGUAAAACUCUGUUGUUAGAGAAGAACAGCGCAUAGAGUAACUGUUAUGCGUGUGACGGUAUCUAACCAGAAAGCCACGGCUAACUACGUGCCAGCAGCCGCGGUAAUACGUAGGUGGCAAGCGUUGUCCGGAUUUAUUGGGCGUAAAGCGAGCGCAGGCGGUCAAUUAAGUCUGAUGUGAAAGCCCCCGGCUCAACCGGGGAGGGUCAUUGGAAACUGGUUGACUUGAGUGCAGAAGAGGAGAGUGGAAUUCCAUGUGUAGCGGUGAAAUGCGUAGAUAUAUGGAGGAACACCAGUGGCGAAGGCGACUCUCUGGUCUGUAACUGACGCUGAGGUUCGAAAGCGUGGGUAGCAAACAGGA